UUGGCGACACCAGGCAAUCAAUCAAAUUGGUUCGUGUCCUGGGUCAGGGCUUAUUAGCCUUGCCGAGCGCCUCGAGCCUGUCUGGCAGCAAAACUAAUUUAAUAAGCCAAAAAACAAAUCAAAUUACCUGUCAAUUUAAUUUUGUAUAGGCACAUAAAUAAUAAUGCAAUAUAGCAAACCCAAAAGGGCGAACAGAUUCUGGGUUCAAGGACCAAGCUGAAGUUAAAGCUUUAUAUUUUUCUCUUGUUUUUAUAUAUUUAACCUUAUAUAUAUAUUGAUUAAUGCACUCACUUUUCACAGAUCUUUUUGGAAAAAAGCAGCAACAUUUGACUCUUAAAUACAAGCUACAAUGCAUACCCCAUUUGUUGCAGGCACAGUAAAUACUCGCUCUUUUAGCUUCAAGAAUGUCCUUUCCCGCCUUGACGCUUCCCACCCUAAACAGCUAACGCUAAUUGCCAAGGAUAUCUAAAGACGCACAAAGAAGUGCAUACUCUAACUAAGCGUAAUUGUAUACUAAUGCAAUCAAUUAAAGUUAGGCGCGAUGCACACGUACUCAAGACAAUAAUCGCGUGCGCUGUUUCCUUUGAUAUUAUUAAGUUGCUCACAUUUAUUAUACACGAGCAAGAACGUUGCAAAUGUACAUAAAGCGGGCUGAGGCUGAGGCUGGGGUUGGGGUCUGGGCCGACUGGAUGCUUUGCUGAUGAGUUCAAUCAAGUUCAUUUUAGACUUCAUUUGCAGCGAUGGGCGGCAGUAAAGCGACAUAAAAAAUAUAUAAGAAGAUGAAGAAGAAAAAAAAGAUGAGCAAAAAAGGGCCAAAUCAAAUCAUAAAAAAUAAUAUGCCGCGCAAGGGCGCAACAGGAUUUCCUUUUCUGCAUGUGUCUGUGCGGCGGAGACUUGUCAGAGCAGGCAUCAAGAAAAUCAACAAGCUUUUACCUUUCGCAUGCAAAACAGAAUGAGAACAGGAAGUAUGUCUGCCCGUGCUACCCACCAACACUCCCACCCCCGGCACCUAGCUAUAUUUUUCAUCCCUCCGCAACUGCAAAUUGAUGCAAUUUAUGAAAACUUUUGUGCACUCAAUUGCGAGUAAACGAGUACACAAGGCACUGUCAUUUUUAUGCACUUCUUGUGCCAAAACAAUUUCUCUAUAUUCGCCCCGCCACAAUUCCCCCUCUCGCCCGUUUGCGCCUGAAUUCAUUGAAGAGCUCGCGUUUUCGUCCUUUUACUUUGCCGGCAUUUGGCAUUUGUGCAUUGUGCGGCAAAUUAAGCGCAUUGCCAGUGACUUCAUUUCACCUCACAUAUAGUAUACGAGUCUGUUAAUAUAUAUCUGUAGAUAUAUGUAUACUUAUAUUUAUAUACACAAAAUGAAAAGGCUUCAAAUUUCAUUUGCCAUUUGGCAAUCAUUUUAAAGCUGCCACUCAAAACGAAAAGCAAUUCCCCGGCCUAAUGACUGCCAUUUGUAGCCAAAAUAUGAAAUGUGCACCAGACCUGAAGGCGUUUAUUUAUUUUUAUUAUACUCUCACUGAAGACAUCCCCACGUGUCUGUAAUUACAAAGCAAGGCGUUUAGAAAAGUUGCCCAAAAAUUAUGGCAUUAAAAAAAUAUAAGUGCAGCUCGAGAAAAUGUUUGCAACUCGAACCGCAAUUUGGAAGGGAACUUUGGGAAUUUAUUUAUAUCUUUCACAUUAAAAGUAAAUACUAAGCAAAUGCUUAUUAUCAAUUUGCUAAUGUA